GUUGCAUAGCUCGGCAAUCAAAGAGCGAGGGCCAGAGAUUGGAAAUUCUGCAUCACUGGGCUAGAGCACUCUUCAAUAAACAAUUCCUUCUAAGAGAUGGAAAUGUGUCAGAGAUGGUGAAACUUAGGAAGAAGAUUGGAGUAAAUAAUAUAUUAUUUCCAAAAUCUCAACGUGCCAGAUUUGAUAUAAGGAUAUCAGUUUAAAACUAACUUCAAUUUUCAUUUAGUGCAUGAGUUAGAACAGGCAGGUUUACUUCUUUCGACACAGUAAUAGAGACAGUAUGUUGUGAUGAUUAAAAGCAUGGACCCUAGAGUCAGACUGCCUGAGUUUAAAUUUGGAUCUAUCACUUAAUAUUUGUAGCACUGUAGCAAAAUUUCAGUAGUUCUAUGGUUUCAUUUUCUGAUAUGUAAAUUACAUUUUAUAGGAACAUUGCCUGCAGGUAAUUAUGAGGAUUAAAUGAGCAAUUACACAUAAAAUAUUUUGAAGAGUGCUCUUCACAUAGCAAACAUUCAAUAAAUAUUAAGUAUUAUUAUUCAACCAUUGAGAAAAGUUUGAGCUUCCUUAGACAUUAGUAUUUAUUAUUUUAUUAUCAACCAAGUUUCUCUUUUUGCUCUAAAAAAGGGUUAAUUAAAAAAGAAAGCAUCAUUGAGCUACUCCAACUCUUUUGGAGUUCUCUUUUGCUGAAAUAUAUGUGGCUUCCUCCUUCGAAACUAUCAAUUGUCAUUGAGUGACCGUUCAUCUAUACAUGUCUACAAAUAUGAGACAUAAGAUUGUCAGUUGAUCUGGGAGUGGAGCAAUGGCCACUGCUGUGAAGGUGAGGGAAAGAUAAAAUUAUAUCCAGUGAUUACUGUGCCAUCAUCUCUUUUGAUAAUUAUGAAGAAUAACUAUUAAAAAGUAAGCAUCAAAGAAAAUCUUAUCUUAGGGACUAUGCUUAAAUAAGCUUGGGAUCUGAGUCCUAGGGAACAAUCACUUCUUUGUGCAAGCUGUUUUCUGCUAAACCCCUUAUUUCCAAUCACAGAAUUAAAGGCAAUAAAGAAAUCAAAUUAUAUGAAGAAUAUUUACCUGUAAGAAUCUUUCAAGGAUGUUACACACUUCAAGACUGAAAGAAACUUUCAGGAUUCAAAAAUGAAAUAUGAAAGCCAAAUGGAACAAUGGAAGGAGAAAAGAAUAGAAGAAACAAAAAAUUAAGUGGAGUCCAAAGAGGAGCCAAAGAAUCUGUUCUUCUAUGCAAUUUUCAGUGCAUCCUGAAACUACUGUCACAAAACCUAUCUUCCUGAAGGAGAGAGUCUCAUGACAGAAAAACUAAAAAACUAUCUAUAAAGAGUACCAUUGGCAGUGAAGUUUCAUGUCAUCUGGGCCACCCACUCACAGGAGAGCUGCUUUGCUUACCUAUUUGUCUUAGAUUUAAAAACAUGGCAGGUUUUUUUAAAAACUAAUUUAAAAAUAAAUAUUUUAUUGAAUUUGAUUUCAUGGUCAUUAUCCCUAAAUUGAAUAACAUCAAUAUGAAGCUCUGAGUUUUGAUGAAAUGUAUUCAAAACACAUACGAUAGUGCUGUUUUAGUAAAAUAUUGUAUUGGCAAGGUUCAAUGCAAUCAGCAGUAUGUUAAAUUUUCUAAACUUUUUAAUUCCAUCUAUUUUUUGGAAGAUUAAUCCUGAGCUAACUGCUGCCAAUCCUCCUCUAUUUGCUGAGGAAGACCGGCCCUGAACCAACAUCCGUGCCCAUCUUCCUCUACUUUACAUGUGGGACGCCUACCACAGCGUGGCUUGCCAAGUGGUGCCAUGUCCACACCCGGGAUCCGAACUGUCGAACCCAUGGCUGGCAAAGCAGAACGUGGGAACUUAACUGCUGCACCACUGGGCUUGCCCCUAAUUCCAUUGUUUUAAUCAAGGUGCCUCCAAGUGGAAUAACAGAUAUACUUAAUUGUUAUAUGAUAAGAUGUGGAAGGUCUUUUGGUAACCUUUUCAGAAAUUAAGAAAGUGAGUGUUUCUAAUGAUUGCAGAACAAACCACUCCAAAACAUAUUAAUUAAAAUCAACAACUAAAGAUUAUUGUGAGAAAUUGGCACGUAACUUGGAUGGAGUUGAAAGAGUUGAGUGAUAUUCCUAUUUUAGCACAAUCUCUGACAGUUUCUAGUCCCAUUUCCAUUUAAUAUGACCAAGCAGUCUCCGUAUUUUCACCUAUUAAAAAGUGGAAAUAGAAAUGAUGCUGAACCCUCUUGCUUUCUAACAUUGUGAUAUCUUUCCAAGGAUACAUUAAUUAAUUGAAAUAAAUAAUCCAAACAUAUAUUCAUAAUAUUUCUCACACAAAGAAUAUUUCCAGGGCUCAGCCCCAUGGCUGAGUGGUUAAAGUCCUGCGCACUCCACUUCAGCGGCCCAGGUUCACAGCCCAAAUCCUGGGCGCAAAUGUACUCCAGUCCCCAACCACACCGUGGAGGUAACCCACAUACAAAAAAAUAGAGGAAGAUUGGCACAGAUGUUAGCUCAGGCUUAUUCUUCCUCAGCAAAAUAAAAUAUUUCCAAAAAUAUUUUUUCAAUUUUGAUUGAUUAUAUUUUAUCCAAAUUUGCAAUGCAAUUAUAUUUUAAUUAGUGGUAUAAUUAUUAUUGAAUCAUUACAAGGUUAACUUAAUACAGAAAGAAAAACUUUUGAUUUUGCCAAAAGCAUUAUGAAAUAAAAAGUAUGAAUCUGAUUAAUAGCAUUGUAGUGAUCAAUGGGAGGAGUAGGAUUGAAUGUAAAUUCAGGAGAAGGAAAGGCACAAACAUGACUGUUUUGGAUGUCAUUUAUUUAUGUAUUCUAAAUGGAUAUGCAAUGGAAAUUACAGUUUUUGUUAUUUAAGUUUAUGAUGAAAUAUUGUAUAUGUAAAAUUAAAUUCUUCGAAUAUAUACCUUUUCAAAACUAAUUGAGAAGCGUAUGACCAAAAGAUGUGAAGACUACUAAUAUGAGUCAUGUUGUAUAUAGAAGCAACAGAAUCUACUAUAAAGAAUCUGAACUGUCACAACCUGAUAAUGGAAAACAUAUUGUAUGCCAGUGUUUAAUGGAAAGUGUGCUUCUGAUAUGUCUGGAGUCUUGAAUGAUUUCAUGAAUUCUAUCAACAAUUGCUUUUACAAUGUUGGCGAGGUCACUUAAGCAUCAUAGGCCUUGGUUUCUUCAAAGUAAAGGCAAACGGUUUGUGGUAAUUCUAUCAAAAAAUGUGCUCAUCCUUGGUGCAAGCAGGACAGAAGUAAAAUAAACUUCUCUAAAAAAAGGCAUUAACCAUUACGGAUUCAGUUUAAGAUUAAUAUAAAUAAUUUCUUAAUUUCAAAGAAAAUUAGAAAUUGCAUAAUUGCUAAAUGUAUAACAAAGAUAAAUUUGUAAAUAGCUAGAGAAACAGAAGUCAAUAGAAGAGAAAAGCAUUCCCUCAUCAGACAUCCAAUAUCUAAAACACUAUUUUAUUUUUCCAUAUAGAAUGGUUAUUUAAUUGAUUCCUUAUUAUAUAAUGUAUAUGAAUGGAACAUUUCAAUAAUGAACAUAAGGUUAAAAUAACAUGAACAUUCCAAAUAACUUUAUUGAAUCCAUAUAAAAUUGUUCCCCACGUUAGAUUUUCUUCCUUACUAAAAUACCUGGAAAUUUAUUUCUUCCAUUAUAUUGAUGAUUAGUUUGGAAUUUUAUCUAGACAUAUUGAUUAAAGAGAAGGAGAAGGACGUAUAAUUUAUUCAAGCAUAAGUGAGUUAUUAAUGUUAAAGAAAUCUAGAAUUUUUAAUUUACCAGAUCAAAUAGGUCUUAAUAGUAAUGAAUGCCUGCUUUUCAUUUUAUUUUGAAUAAAGUUAUAUAGGUGAUUUGUUUCCAACACUUGAGGUGACUCCAGACACUUUUUUUUUUUAAGAUGGGAGUUCAAUUGAGAAGGAUUCAGAAAUUACCCUCAUGUUCAGGAAAAAGAAUCAAGGAAUUGAUUAUGGUUUUCAUGUGUUUAUAGGCAGAAUGAAAGUAUGAAGUACAGAUUGGGUUGAUACCGUGCUUACUUUUUGCCUAUAAGAUUUCUUGAGAGGCAAUCUAUUAUUUCUAUGCCUCUGGUGGAGUCUAUCACAGCUUAUCAUCCUACCAUACUUGAGCUCCUUUGAAACACAUUCAGAAUAAAGGCCGUGUCUUAUCAACUUUCCAUUCAUGCCAAGUAACCUGUAUACACAAUAAUAUACACACACAUGUGCAUGUCAUAAAGUAUUCACUCAAUAAAAAAUUUGGUUCAUCAUUGACUCAGUAUUGCAUUUUGACUUUGCCAUGCUUCCAUCUUCCAAAGAAAACUCCUUGUUGAAAUGUGUCUCCUAAAAUUCUGACCAUUCUGUUAUUCAAGGACAAAUUCAAACAAUACCUGUUUUAUGAAGACAUCUCUCUAAUGUCCCUAAAUGGAUUUGAACUUUCCUUUCUCUCAAAUUCUCCAUGAUAACUUAUUAUUUUCUACCUUAUACAGUGACUACUUUUUUCACUGCCCUACUGUCAACACUAGAUUUUACAUUCUUUGAAGGAUGAAGACUAGUCUUACUUUAACUGCUAUUUGUACUUUUACAAGAG
rnacentral:lncRNA from 1 species